rnacentral:rRNA from 1 species
UACGAAGGGGGCUAGCGUUGCUCGGAAUGACUGGGCGUAAAGGGCGCGUAGGCGGUUCGUACAGUCAGACGUGAAAUUCCCGGGCUCAACCUGGGGGCUGCACUUGAUACGUAUGGACUGGAGUGGGGAAGAGGGUCGUGGAAUUCCCAGUGUAGAGGUGAAAUUCGUAGAUAUCGGGAGGAACACCAGUGGCGAAGGCGGCGAUCUGGGAAGAUACUGACGCUGAGGUGCGAAAGCGUGGGGAGCGAACAGG